AUUGAACGCUGGCGGCAUGCCUUACACAUGCAAGUCGAACGGCAGCACGGGAGCUUGCUCCUGGUGGCGAGUGGCGAACGGGUGAGUAAUAUAUCGGAACGUACCCUAGAGUGGGGAUAACGCAGCGAAAGUUGCGCUAAUACCGCAUACGAUCUACGGAUGAAAGUGGGGGAUCGCAAGACCUCAUGCUCAUGGAGCGGCCGAUAUCUGAUUAGCUAGUUGGUGGGGUAAAGGCCUACCAAGGCAUCGAUCAGUAGCUGGUCUGAGAGGAUGAUCAGCCACACUGGGACUGAGACACGGCCCAGACUCCUACGGGAGGCAGC
rnacentral:rRNA from 1 species